AUGAAAGUAAAUAUAAAUCCAACAAGCUCCCAAACUCGUUGGGUAGCAGACCUCAUCGACCAGGAGAGUCACGCUUGGAAGGAAGAUUACAUCAUGCAUAUAUUUACACGUGAAGAUGCAAAUGAUAUUUUAAGUAUCCGACUACCAAAUUAUGAUGAAGAGAAUUAUAUUGCUUGGCAGCCUGAAAAAAACGGAAUUUUCAGUGUUCGUAGCGCAUACCGGUUAGCCAUGGACGAAAAGGAUUCUAUGGUGAUUGGGUCCAGCCACAAUACCCAAGGGGAUCGCAAUAUUUGGAAUAAUAUCUGGAAGACAAAUGUACCCCAAAAAGUACGGAUUUUUACAUGGAGACUAGCAACAGAGUCACUGGCGGUUCAAACUAAUAGAUUUCGUCGCAUCCCAGGCCUCACCCCAAUUUGUAAUGUAUGUGCGGCCGAUGAUGAAACAGGCUUCCAUAUGGCACAACCAUGCACAUUUGCAAGGGCCCUGUGGCACGAACUCAAGGAGGUAUGGAACCUGCCCCCUGAGCAUGAAAUAGAAUAUACUGGAAGGGAUUGGGUCCUAAUCCUGCUAGAUAAGGUGAGUGAAGAUAUGAAACAAAAAAUUAUGCUUUUUUGGUGGCGUGUUUGGCACCAUAGAAAUGACGCGAUCUUCGCAAAAGGUAAAGCGAAAAUUUCCCACUCUGCUCGUUUUCUGCAAAACUACCUUGUAAACCUCCGCUUGAUUGCGGAUGGAACUUCUGAGAUAGAUCGUAAAGGGAAAAGUCCGAUGGUUAAAUUGCCAUCCGUGCAACAACAUGAUAAUACAAAGGAAAAAGGAUGGAAAAAGCCAGAGCUCGGAUGGGCUAAGGUCAAUGUUGAUGGAAGUUUUUUGGAGGAAUGUAGGAGUGGAGCCUGGGGAGCUGUGAUUCGAGACCAUGAUGAAAGAAUUAUCUUAUCAGCUUGGGAUUAUAUACCGCGAUGCAAUGGAACGGACUGCGCGGAAGCCAUGGCUUGCCUAGAAGGACUACGGAAGGCAAUGUCGGGGACGGAUCUACCCUUAAUCAUCGAGACGGAUUGCAGCUCGGUGACAAAGGCGCUCAUCCUCUCGUCUAUUGAUAGAUUGGAGGUUGGAACAAUUGCAAAGGAGUUUCAAGCCAUGAAAGGGAACAGAGAAGUUAGAGUUUGCAAAGUAGAUAGAAGGGAAAAUAGGUUAGCUCAUAGUCUUGCCCAGUUGGGGCGUAGAGAGUUGCGUGGUGGGGUUAUGCAAGGCACAGUGCCAACCUGCGUGUUGAGCGAGGCCUUGCACGAUUGUACGAACUAUUUUUUCUCUACUUAA
rnacentral:rRNA from 1 species